UUACAGCUAGCGGAACAGACAUCGAGAAGAUUGGAGGAGACUGGUGAUGUUUUGAUUUGAAAAGCCCCAAAACAAGUUUUAUAUUGUUAAAAAGAAAGUUAUAUCACAAUGAGUAUAGAACUGUAAUAGCCCAAAACUCCGUCGGUUGGGUACAUUAUUUGUUUCAUCAAAGCGGAGAAGGAUAAGUAAAUAACUACGAUGCAGUGGUGGAUCUUUCAACACUUGCACCACUUAGCUGGUGGCUUAUCAAUGGGACGUUGGCGCUGCCGGUGACCGAAAGAAACGGCAAACAAGAAAAAAGAAGUUAAAGAAAACAGGUCUGAUACGGACAAGGUGAACAGGAGGCUCGCUUCACCGACCGACCGAUCGACCGAUCGACUCACUGGCCAACUGGCCCGACAAAUCGGAGAGUGUUGCGCGUAUGAUGCAAUGGCAAGGCUAGAGCGACAAAACAUAUAUAUUUUUUUUUGUUUAUCGCGUAAUGAAAUGGCUGUAAAUGUAUGUAAAUGCCAGCCUGAGGGGGUAGGGGUAAGUACUAGACACUUUCAACAACAGACGUGAGUAAGCACAAAUCAGUGCAAGCGAAAACUGCACCAAUAACAAACAACAAGAACAGCCAACUAUGUAAAUAACAACAAUAAUAAACGAUGUCAAGCACAAA